GUACGGGAGGCAGCAGUUGGGAAUUUUGCACAAUGGGCGAAAGCCUGAUGCAGCAACACUGCGUGGAGGAAGACGGCCUUCGGGUUGUAAACUCCUUUUAUCUGGGAAUAAUCUUGAAGGUACCAGAUGAAUAAGCACCGGCUAACUACGUGCCAGCAGCCGCGGUAAUACGUAGGGUGCAAACAUUAUCCGGAUUUAUUGGGCGUAAAGCGCUCGUAGGUGGUUUGGAAAGUUGGAUAUUAAAUAUCCCGGCUCAACCGGGAGAAUGUAUCCAAAACUUCCUGACUUGAGGUAUGUAGGGGAAGAUGGAACACACGGUGUAGCAGUGAAAUGCGUAGAUAUCGUGUGGAACGCCAAUGGUGAAGACAGUCUUCUGGACAUUACCUGACACUGAGGAGCGAAAGCGUGGGGAGCGAACGGGAUUAGAUACCCGGGUAGUCCG
rnacentral:rRNA from 1 species